UGGUUUCCUGGCAAUAAACUAUUGUGAACCGUGUCAGGUCCGGAAGGAAGCAGCACUAGCAAGAGGUUUGUGUGUCUAGGGUCGGCUGA
rnacentral:SRP_RNA from 1 species